rnacentral:lncRNA from 1 species
CAAAAAUCUUGGCAUUGACAAAGAAAUCUUAUUCCAGACUUUCAGCAUCCAAAGAUAUUCCCUUAAGGCAAGUUACUUAAAUUUUCCAGGCAUGAAAAUUUUCAUUUACAAAAUGGAGAUGAUAUAAUGAUAUCUGCUUCUUAGAUAAUGGAGUAAUAUACAUUGUUGAGUACACAAAUAAUCAACAUAGUCCCUAGUACAGGAUUAAACAAUCAGUAACUUUUAUCAUUAACAAUCAGCAAAAAUAAUAAACAGAUUCACAGCAGAGGAGCUGGAUCAUCUAAGUCACUGGAGAGUCACUCUGGGAACAACCCCUGAAAACCUCAUGUAACUCAAAACAUGCAUAAGACAUCAAGAUAGAUUUUUCCCUUAAGAAUAAAUGUAAUGAGGGAAAUAAUAGUCUGAGUGCAUGUAAACCUAGGCAAAUGAAAUACAUUUCUUACAUCCAACUUACUGUUUAAUGCACAAUCAACAGUUUCUAGUGAGGGGAAUUAAAAUUAUUUCAAUGUAUAUGCAUAAAGUGAGACCUUAAUAAUAUUUUUCACUGCUCACUGUUUCAAAUUUGCUAAUUCAUAUCAGUGUGAAAUAUAAACACACUGUUUAUCCAAAGGCCAUUCAGUAUCAGAGAGAAAGUAUUAUAAGAAAUGAGGCACAGGGGAGUGUAUCGAAGGGUUUCAAGGGAUAUACUUUAAAUAUAGAGGAAAACAGUAGGAAAUGUAAAUCCUGCAACAUCUAGAGUUUAAAUUGUUGGAAUUUCUUUUACAACUGCGAAACCUAUAAGAAGGU